rnacentral:rRNA from 1 species
UACGUAGGGUGCGAGCGUUAAUCGGAAUUACUGGGCGUAAAGCGUGCGCAGGCGGUUCGUUGUGUCGGUGGUGAAAUCCCCGGGCUUAACCUGGGAAUGGCCAUGGAAACUGGCGAACUGGAGUGCGGCAGAGGGGGGUGGAAUUCCGCGUGUAGCAGUGAAAUGCGUAGAGAUGUGGAGGAACACCGAUGGCGAAGGCAGCCUCCUGGGCCAGCACUGACGCUCAUGCACGAAAGCGUGGGGAGCAAACAGG